GGCCACUCAAGGCUGAGCAAGCAGAGGAAACCAGGCAAAGGAAAGAUGAGCUACGCCGGGAGUCUGGGCCUCCGGCACAAGAACAGCGCUCCAUACGAGACCAGACUGAGAAAGAACUCAUAUGCUUCAACUGCCACAUGCAAGGACAUAUUGCAUAUAACUGUCCUGAGAGUGAAGAGCCAAUACAAUGUGACGUAGGAAUAAGGGCUCUGCAUAGGAUAGUAUUGACUUGCUUAAAGAUGUGUAUGGUGACUG